rnacentral:misc_RNA from 1 species
GAUGAAGAACGCAGUGAAAUGCGAUAAGUAAUGUGAAUUGCAGAAUUCAGUGAAUCAUCGAAUCUUUGAACGCACAUUGCGCCCCUUGGUAUUCCGAGGGGCAUGCCUAUUCGAGCGUCAUUAUCACCCCUCAAGCUCCGGCUUGGUGUUGAGGCCUGCCGUCAGGGCACCCUCUAAAAUCAGUGGCAGUGCCGUCAGGCUCUAAGCGUAGUAAUUUCAUCGCUAUAGACCCGGGCGGACCCUCGCCAGAACCCCCCAUUUUUUAAUGAUUGACCUCGGAUUAGGUAGGGAUACCCGCUGAACUUAAGCAUAUCAAUAAGCGGAGGA